rnacentral:tRNA from 2 species
GCGUUCGUAGCUCAAUUGGUUAGAGUAUUAUCAUGACAUGAUAAAGGUUAGCGGUUCAAAUCCACUCGAACGCA